rnacentral:rRNA from 1 species
AGCGAACGCUGGCGGCAGGCCUAACACAUGCAAGUCGAACGAAGUCUUCGGACUUAGUGGCGGACGGGUGAGUAACACGUGGGAACGUACCUUUUGGUUCGGAACAACUCAGGGAAACUUGAGCUAAUACCGGAUGAGCCCUUAGGGGGAAAGAUUUAUCGCCGAAAGAGCGGCCCGCGUUAGAUUAGCUAGUUGGUGAGGUAAAGGCUCACCAAGGCUACGAUCUAUAGCUGGUCUGAGAGGAUGAUCAGCCACACUGGGACUGAGACACGGCCCAGACUCCUACGGGAGGCAGCAGUGGGGAAUCUUGCGCAAUGGGCGAAAGCCUGACGCAGCCAUGCCGCGUGAAUGAUGAAGGUCUUAGGAUUGUAAAAUUCUUUUACCAGGGACGAUGAUGACGGUACCCGGAGAAGAAGCCCCGGCUAACUUCGUGCCAGCCGCCGCCGUAAUAC